rnacentral:rRNA from 1 species
AUGCAACAGUGGUUUAACAUGGUGGUGUGGAAGUGUUGCGGCUCGGCUGUGGGAGCUAGAGAUCUUAUCAUGCAAAUAUCAUGUAUGCUGAAGGCGAUUAAAGAGAAGAAAGAUUGCUUCAGACGCCUAUACCUGGAUAGGAGUGCAGACAACAUAGAGAAGUACAAGAUGGCGAAGAAGGCCGCAAAGCGAGCUGUUGGUGAAGCAAGGGGUCGGGCAUAUGAGGACCUCUACCAACGGUUAGGCACAAAGGAAGGUGAAAGGGACAUCUAUAAGAUGGCUAAGAUCCGGGAGAGGAAGACGAGGGAUAUUGGCCAAGUCAAAUGCAUCAAGGACGGAGCAGGCCAACUCUUGGUGAAGGACGAAGAGAUUAAGCAUAGAUGGCGGGAGUACUUCGACAAGCUGUUCAAUGGGGAGAAUGAGGUUCUACCAUUGAACUGGACGACUCCUUUGAUGAGACCAGCAUGCGUUUUGUGCGGCGCAUCCAGGAGUCUGAGGUGA